rnacentral:rRNA from 1 species
AGAGUUUGAUCCUGGCUCAGGAUGAACGCUGGCAACGUGGAUAAGGCAUGCAAGUCGAAUGCUAUCCUUCGGGAAAAGCAUGGCAAACGGGCUAGUAACACGUGGGAAUCUGCCCUAAAGUUAGGGAUAACCCGAAGAAAUUCGGGAUAACACCUAAUGUGCUCUUCGGAGUAAAGAUUUAUCGCUUUAGGAGGAGCCCGCGCACUAUCAGCUUGUUGGUGGGGUAAUGGCCCACCAAGGCUAUGACGGUUAGGGGAUGUGAGAGCAUGACCCCCAGCAUUGGAACUGAGACACUGUCCAAACACCUACGGGUGGCUGCAGUCUAGAAUCUUCCACAAUGGGCGAAAGCCUGAUGGAGCGACGUUGCGUGUAGGAUGAAGGCCUUCGGGUUGUAAACUACUUUUAUUAGGGAUGAAUUUUUGACAGUACCUAAUGAAUAAGAGGUUGCUAACUCUGUGCCAGCAGCAGCGGUAAUACAGAGACCUCGAGCGUUAUCCGGAUUUACUGGGCGUAAAGCGUCUGUAGGGGGAUUAUGAAGUUCCAAGUAAAAUCUUAAGGCUUAACUUUAAGUUCGCUUGGAAAACUCAUAAUCUGGAGCAUAGCAGAGGUGCAUGGAACUUGUGGUGUAGGAGUGAAAUCCGUUGAUAUCACAAGGAACACCAAAGGCGAAGGCAUUGCACUAGGCUAUCGCUGACCCUGAGAGACGAAAGCGUGGGGAGCAAAACGGAUUAGAUACCCGUGUAGUCCACGCCGUAAACGAUGGAUACUAGAUGUCCGGGGAUUCGACCCCUUGGGUGUCACAACUAACGCGUUAAGUAUCCCGCCUGGGAAGUACGGCCGCAAGGCUAAAACUCAAAGGAAUAGACGGGGAUCCGCACAAGCGGUGGAGCGUCUGGUUUAAUUUGACAGUAAGCAAGGGACCUCACCUGGGCUUGACAUCCUACGAUAACUCUGGAAACAGAGCUUCCUUCGGGCGUAGUGACAGGUGCUGCAUGGUCGUCGUCAGUUCGUGCCGUGAGGUGUUCCGUUAAGUCGGGAAACGAACGAAACCCUCGUCGCAUGUUAUAUUUUUCAUGCGAGACUGCCCGGGUCAACCGGGAGGAAGGCGAGGAUGACGUCAGAUCUGCAUGGCCCUUAUGUCCAGGGCUACACAGGCGCUACAAUGGCAGGUACAAAGGGUUGCAAAACCGUAAGGUGAAGCUAAUCCCACAAAGCCUGUCUCAGUUCGGAUUGAAGGCUGCAACUCGCCUUCAUGAAGCUGGAAUCGCUAGUAAUCGUGAAUCAGCCAUGUCACGGUGAAUACGUUCCCGGAUCUUGUACUCACCGCCCGUCACACCAAGAGAGUUGGUAGCUCCCAAAGCGUCGCAAUAAAGCGGCACCACGGAGAGAUCAGCGAUAGGGGUGAAGUCGUAACAAGGUAACC